rnacentral:rRNA from 1 species
GACGAACGCUGGCGGCGUGCUUAACACAUGCAAGUCGAACGGAAAGGCCCUGCUUUUGUGGGGUGCUCGAGUGGCGAACGGGUGAGUAACACGUGAGUAACCUGCCCUUGACUUUGGGAUAACUUCAGGAAACUGGGGCUAAUACCGGAUAGGAGCUCCUGCUGCAUGGUGGGGGUUGGAAAGUUUCGGCGGUUGGGGAUGGACUCGCGGCUUAUCAGCUUGUUGGUGGGGUAGUGGCUUACCAAGGCUUUGACGGGUAGCCGGCCUGAGAGGGUGACCGGCCACAUUGGGACUGAGAUACGGCCCAGACUCCUACGGGAGGCAGCAGUGGGGAAUAUUGCACAAUGGGCGGAAGCCUGAUGCAGCAACGCCGCGUGCGGGAUGACGGCCUUCGGGUGUUAAACCGCUUUCGCCUGUGACGAAGCGUGAGUGACGGUAAUGGGUAAAGAAGCACCGGCUAACUACGUG